UGAACAGAAAAUCAUCAUUUAUCUAAAUAGAAUAAUAGAAAUGAACAAAACCUUUUAAAACAAUCACAAAAUUUACAAAUAAAUUGGUACAAAAUAAAUAGGAGAGAUUGUAAAUCUACAACAUCAUUUGAAUUAUAAAAUGCAUUCAUUAUGACAAUCAGCUCAUGAAACCUAUACAUGUCAUUUGUGCUUCUUUAGGCUUAUGUACACAGCUCUGAAUACUGUGUUCGGAGAGCUUCACUGCUGAAAAGCAUGAAAUGUACACUAUGACACAGCAAAGGCUGAGGAGGAUGAAAAUCAGACACAAAGCAGGGUCUUAAACUUGAGGGCCAAGGCAAUGCUGGCGUUGGGCCUCAAAACCAUGAAAAGGCAUAUAAGAAGCCCAGAUGGGCAGGCAGCUUCCAUGGUCCCGAGAGAUGGAUUCUGCAAUCCAAGGUAGGAAUUUAGAGGCCAUCACUGUUGUGGGGCCAGUUUCCCAACCUGGCUUGAGAAGGUGGGAGUGAGGAAGAAGGCUCUGGUCUCACAUCCAUGCUGUACCGUUAUACAGAAUAGACCCAGUCACCAGGAAACCACCUCUCAAGCAUGUCGCAGAUGUACUUGAGAGCCCUGCCAUGACGGAGACAGGCCUCCAUCCUCAUCCCAAACACUAGUCCAUCAGGAAUAGUGGUAAGCCCAGUAAAAGGGGCCAGGGAUGCUAGGGUCAACCUAAGAGCAGCAACCUCUUUAUGGCAAAAACAGAAAAAAAAAAAAACAAAAAAAAACCACUGCCUUCUCACCCACUUUAAGGGACAACAGAACCCUAGGCUCCAUGGAUGAGGGGCUCUAGAAAAUAUCUCGUCUUAGUCACAAUGUACUAACAGUAGAGGCAUAUGUACAUAAUAAAUAAUAAUAUAAAAUAAAGCAUAUACAUUUGUAGAUUUAAGACUCCAGAAAUAAGAGAAGUCAAUGGACUGAUACACUCCGCCUUCACAGUAGACUUCAGACAUGGGGAAGAAUGAAUCAGAAGCUAAGCUGGGGCUCUCAGGGGAAUGAAAGUCCUGAUGCCUUACUCCUUCCUACUCCAGGAGCCUGAGACCAGCUAAGCAUACCAAGGGGCCUGGGCCUCCAACAAAAAGGGAAGGCACACCCAAGCCCCACCAGGUCUGUAAGAAUUCUUCCCAGGGUGAGCCUAAGAAGAAUCUGGCCCCAAAAGAAUCACUUUCCAAGUGAAUCCGUGUUGGGUCAGAUGUGGGCAAAUACCAGAAGAUACCCUGCCAGGCAAGGCAAGCCGUUCUUCCAGUUUAUGUUUAAACUCAACAUAAGUGGGUAUUCGAACUCAAAGAUGUGUAUUAACUCAAGUCUUUCGUAUAGUAUGUGUUGGAGCUGUGUACAUAAAAACCUUGCUAUACAAAUUCCUAGAACUUUAAGCUCUUGCUACUAGAACCUUUGUUUCUAAAUGUUGCUUCAAGUACAGCCUGGUAUUUCCCAUCGGAAGAUAUUUACAAUGAGUCUAGUGAAAUGUCAGUGGCUCUAGCAUACACAGAAAGAUUACUUGUGUAGAGCCAACCACAAAGGUCUAAGAAGCCGAGAAAGUCCCCAGCCCAAGGCAGGAGGAAAGCUGCUCCAAGCUCUGCAAUUGCUAUGAACUGCCAUUGCCUCCUUCUGUCCUUCGGGCUGACCAGGGACUCUGGGAAUCUUCAGACAGGGCAGAAGGAAAACCAGCAGGUAAGCACUCACUGCAGGAAGAAUGCCUGCGAGUGGUAGAGGAAGAAGGCCCACUGCCACAGCCUGGAGGGACGGUGACAUCGGCAAGCUCGCCCUCAAAUGGAGGCAAAUGAACCUCAUCUCAGAGUUCCCUGAACUCAUCUCUCUUAUCAGCCCACUUGAAUACAAAAGAAAUAUGAAAAGAUAAAGAUCUGUAAAUGGCCCUGAGAUAUAAAAAUCCACUGAGUA
rnacentral:lncRNA from 1 species